rnacentral:rRNA from 1 species
AGUGAACGCUGGCGGUAGGCCUAACACAUGCAAGUCGAACGGCAGCACAGUAAGAGCUUGCUCUUACGGGUGGCGAGUGGCGGACGGGUGAGGAAUACAUCGGAAUCUACUUUUUCGUGGGGGAUAACGUAGGGAAACUUACGCUAAUACCGCAUACGACCUACGGGUGAAAGCAGGGGAUCUUCGGACCUUGCGCGAUUGAAUGAGCCGAUGUCGGAUUAGCUAGUUGGCGGGGUAAAGGCCCACCAAGGCGACGAUCCGUAGCUGGUCUGAGAGGAUGAUCAGCAACACUGGAACUGAGACACGGUCCAUACUCCUACGGGAGGCAGCAGUGGGGAAUAUUGGACAAUGGGCGCAAGCCUGAUCCAGCCAUACCGCGUGGGUGAAGAAGGCCUUCGGGUUGUAAAGCCCUUUUGUUGGGAAAGAAAAGCAGCAGGUUAAUACCCCGCUGUUCUGACGGUACCCAAAGAAUAAGCACCGGCUAACUUCGUG